rnacentral:rRNA from 1 species
UACGUAGGGGGCAAGCGUUGUCCGGAUUUACUGGGCGUAAAGCGCGCGUAGGUGGAAGAGCAAGUCCGGCCUGAAAGCCCCCGGCUCAACCGGGGAGAGUGGCUGGAAACUGCUGUUCUUGAGGGCGAGAGAGGAGGGUGGAAUUCCUGGUGUAGCGGUGAAAUGCGUAGAGAUCAGGAGGAACACCCGUGGCGAAGGCGGCCCUCUGGCUCGACCCUGACGCUGAGGCGCGAAAGCGUGGGGAGCGAACGGG